AUAGGGAUGUUCAUUUGACAGAAACUCAUUUCUUUAAGUGUGUCGUAAUUAUGUGUCAUAUGCCAAGCACUGUCCGAGAGGUAAGUGCCAAGUGCCAGGCCAGGAGUGAGCCUUGUCCACAGACAGUUUACAGCUUUCCAGGGAAGGCAGACAGUAAAUAAAUACGCACCUAAUAAGCUGGAAAGGACUGCUGUGGUGUGUACACACUGGGAUGACCCACCAUGCCAGGGUGCUUAGGGAAGAAGUUCCCUGAAGGAGGGAGGAGAUUGGCAGAGACUAGAGAAGAGCAAGAAGCUGCUGAGGGGUGGAGGAAGAGAUUAUCCCAGGAGCAGGAAGUACACUAAACCCUGGAGUGAAGUACCAGCCCGGGCCAGGAGAUAGAAGGGCAGGCAGAGCUGGAUCAGGAUCUCCAGCUUUUCGCUAUCAUGGAGCAGGCCACAUAGACAUCUUAUAUAUAUCUGCUCCAUACAUCUAUAAGAAUGUUGGCAGAGGGCCGGGAAUACAGCUCAGCAGCAUAAGCACCUGCCUGGCAAGUUCAAGGUCUUGAGUUUGAAUCUCAUUUAAAAACAAAAAGGAAUGUCGACAGAAACACAAAUGAGGACACACACAGUGCUUAUAUUGGAUUCAACUGCCCAGGCUGCUCACCAUAGGUUCCAGUAUUCAGGAGAAAAUGUUUGUAAGAAGGGAUUGGGUUUAUUGAAGACACAUCCUGAAGAAGGUAGCAGGCAGAGGGACUGGGACCUAUGAUUUGUUAUGAAAACCACAUCUGUUAAUUUCGCAUGGAAAAAGCUUAUGGAAUCACUCAUAUAUAAAUACAGGCUCCUGAUUUUGCUCUGGGUUGAAGAGAAACACUCUUCUUCCCUCCUAACCCUACUGUGUUUCUCUGAGUCUUUCUUCUUCGCUGCCCGCGUUCCUCUCUCCUCAGGUUGUUGUUCCCUGGAAGCUGAGGCUGGACCUUGGCAUAUUACUAGAUCAUAGUGCAGUAAAA